UAGUCCACGCCGUAAACGAUGGGUACUAGGUGUUGCGGGAAUUGACCCCUGCAGUGCCGACGCUAACGCAAUAAGUACCCCGCCUGGGAAGUACGGUCGCAAGAUUAAAACUCAAAGGAAUUGACGGGGGCCCGCACAAGCGGUGGAGCAUGUGGUUUAAUUCGAUGCAACGCGAAAAACCUUACCUGGGUUUGAAAGCCUCGGACAACCCUAGAGAUAGGGCUUUCCCUUCGGGGACUGAGUGCUAGGUGCUGCAUGGCUGUCGUCAGCUCGUAUCGUGAGAUGUCGGGUUAAGUCCCUUAACGAGCGCAACCCUUAUCCUUCGUUGCCAGCAUUUAGUUGGGCACUCAAAGGAGACUGCCCGUGUUAAACCGGAGGAAGGUGGGGAUGACGUCAAGUCCUCGUGGCCUUUAUGCCUAGGGCUGCACACGUCCUACAAUGCAACGUACAAAGCGACGCGAAAUCGCGAGAUCAAGCAAACCGCAUAAAACGUUGCCCAGUUCGGAUUGCAGGCUGAAAUUCG
rnacentral:rRNA from 1 species